UCCGCCCCCCUGUGAAAACGCCCUUUAACCCCUUUCAGGGACAAGGAGCUGGUAUCAGGCACAAUAAUAUGCCCAAGACACCUAGCUAUGCCACACCCAUAAGGGAAUUCAGCAGUGAUUAACAUUGAAAAUUAGCGCAAGCUUGACUCAGUUUAAGUAAAUAGAGCCGGCCAAUCUGGUGCCAGCCGCCGCGGUUACACCAUGAGGCUCAAAUUGACCCCUUCCGGCGUAAAGCGUGAUUAAAGUUAAACUCUUUUAGGGUUGAACUAAAACUGAGCCGUGACACGCCUGUUAUUAAGAAUCUCUUAAACGAAAGUUACCCUAAUUUAAUCAACUUGAUUUCACGUCAGCUGGGGAACAAACUGGGAUUAGAUACCCCACUAUGCCCAACCGUAAACUUUUAAUUACAUCUUAAUCGCCAGGAAACUACGAGCCAAGCUUAAAACCCAAAGGACUUGACGGUACCCCAUAUCCCCCUAGAGGAGCCUGUCCUAUAAUCGAUAACCCUCGUUUAACCUCACCAUUUUUAGUUAUCAGCCUGUAUACCUCCGUCGUCAGCUUACCUCGUGAGCGAAAGUAAGUGAGCCUAAUGUUUUUCACCAGUACGUCAGGUCAAGGUGCAGUAAAUGAAAUGGGAAGAGAUGGGCUACACUUUCUAUUAUAGAAGAAACGGAAAACUACCUAUGAAACCUAGUUGGAAGGCGGAUUUAGCAGUAAAGAGGAAUCAGAAUAUCCAUUUUAACCCGGCACUGGGGUGUGUACACACCGCCCGUCACCCUCUUCAAAGCUACAAUAAGUAUCAACUAACCUAAGCUCAAC
rnacentral:rRNA from 1 species